GAUUUGAAUAUUUAAAUUUAGAACCUUGGCUGCAAUGAAGAUGAAAUUUUUUCUACUCUUGAACUUGACGUAUAUGUAGCUUGGUUUGUUUUCUUUUGAAUAAAAUUACAUCGCAUUGCAGUUACAAA